GAUGAACGCUGGCGGCGUGCUUAACACAUGCAAGUCGAACGGGAAUUACUUUAUUGAAACUUCGGUCGAUUUAAUUUAAUUCUAGUGGCGGACGGGUGAGUAACGCGUGGGUAACCUGCCUUGUACAGGGGGAUAACAGUCAGAAAUGACUGCCAAUACCGCAUAAGCGCACAGGACCGCAUGGUCCGGUGUGAAAAACUCCGGUGGUAUAAGAUGGACCCGCGUUGGAUUAGCUUGUUGGCAGGGUAACGGCCUACCAAGGCGACGAUCCAUAGCCGGCCUGAGAGGGUGAACGGCCACAUUGGGACUGAGACACGGCCCAGACUCCUACGGGAGGCAGCAGUGGGGAAUAUUGCACAAUGGGGGAAACCCUGAUGCAGCGACGCCGCGUGAAGGAAGAAGUAUCUCGGUAUGUAAACUUCUAUCAGCAGG
rnacentral:rRNA from 1 species